UGAAAGGUAAUCUUGCUUCUAGAAUGGUGGGUGCAUGCAUUGAAAAUGCUAGACAAUUCUAGCAUGAAUAUGGCAUGUGUUCAUUAUGUUCAUAAGCAAAGUCUAUGUUGGUGGGCUACUUUAAGAAAUCAAGAAUAAUGGCUAGGAUGAUUUCACACUUGGUAUUCACACUUGGUAUGGUUGGUUAUGCUUGCCUAUAAGUAUAGGUGAGUAUGUUGUAAUGUAAGAUAUAAGAAGAAGAAAAGAGAAGUGAGAAAGAAGAAGAAGAAGUAAGAGAGACAAGAAGGCUCUCUAAAGUGAGAAUAAGUAGAAGAAGCAUUCAUAGCUUCCAAGAGUGUUUGAGUGAUUUCUCUUGUAUUAGUUUGUGUGAGAAUAAGAAAAGUUUUGAGUGUUACCUUGAAUAUUCUUUUUCUCUUGCCUAUCAAUUUCCGCUGUGUUACAUUCUUAUUUGAGAUAGACAUCUCCAAAGUAGAGAAGUCUUUUAAAUCCCAACAAAGUGGUAUCAGAGCCAUGGCUAACAACGCUAUGGCAGCUUUCCAAGUUCCAGUGCUCAACAACAACAACUUCGAUAAUUGGAGUAUCAAAAUGAAGGCCCUUUUGGGAGCACAUGAUGUAUGGGAAGUCGUGGAGAAAGGCUACACUGAGCCAGAAGAUGAAGCUACUCUGUCCCAACCCCAGAAGGAGGGUUUGAAAGAUUCAAGAAAGAGAGACAAGAAGGCUCUCUACCUCAUCUACCAAGCAUUAAAUGACAAUGGUUUUGAGAAGGUCUCAAGUGCAACCUCCGCCAAGCAAGCAUGGGAGAAGCUUCAAACCUCUUACAAAGGAGCCGAACAAGUGAAAAAGGUUCGUCUUCAAGUAUUAAGAGGUGAGUUCGAAUCUUUACAAAUGAAAGGGUCUGAAUCAAUCUCCGAUUACUUCUCAAGAGUUUUAGCCGUUUCCAAUCAAUUAAAAAGAAACGGUGAAAAAUUAGAAGAUGUUAGAAUUAUGGAGAAGAUACUACGCUCGUUGGACCCCAAAUUCGAGCACAUUGUUGUGACGAUUGAAGAGACAAAAGACUUGGAAGAAAUCAGUAUAGAGCAUUUAAUGGGCUCGCUACAAGCAUAUGAAGAGAAACAUAAGAAGAGGCAAGGGAAUGAUGAGCAGCUUCUCAAGACGCAUGUUCCAGCCAAAGAAGAAAGAAGAAAGCUUCAACAACGAGAGAAGCCAAAACGAAAGAAGUCGUGGCCGAGGUCGCGGACGUGGGCGUGGACAUGGACGUGGACGCAGUUGGAACUUCAACAACCAUAGCAACUACGAAAGAGGAGAAAGCUCAACAAAAGGUCGUGGGAGAGCGCUCAAACUUGAGGUAUGAAAAAUCUCAAGUUCAAUGCUAUAAUUGUCAAAAGUUCGGGCAUUAUGCUUGGGAAUGUAGAGCUCCAAACAACAGACUUGAUGAGAAGGUCAAUUAUGUGAAAGAAGAUAAAGAAGAGAAUGGCGUUGUGCUACUAGCAUGCAAGAACAAUGAUGGAGAUCAAGACUAUACAUGGUAUCUUUGACACCGGCGCCAGCAACCACAUGUGUGGAAAAAGAAGCGUGUUCGUAGAGCUCAAUGAAUCAGUGAGUGGCAACGUUUCUUUUGGAGACGAAUCCAAAAUACCCGUAAAAGGAAAAGGUAACAUCCUUAUUCCCCUUGAAAAUGGCGGUCACCAAUUAAUUUCAAAUGUCUACUACGUGCCCAAUAUGAAAAGCAACAUUUUGAGUUUGGGUCAACUCUUAGAAAAAGGUUAUGAUUUUCAUACAAAAAAUUAUAUCCUUUUUCUUAGAGAUGACAAAGGAAGAUUAAUUGCCAAGGCGAAAAUGUCAAAGAAUAGGAUGUUUCCCAUGAACAUUCAAAACGAUGUUGCAAAGUGUCUUAAGAUAUGUUACAAAGACAUAUCUUGGCUUUGGCAUCUUCGUUUUGGGCAUCUUAACUUUGAAGGAUUGGAGUUAUUAUCUAAGAAGGAGAUGGUGAGAGGAUUACCGUGCAUCAGCCACCUUGAUCAAGUUUGUGAAGGAUGUUUACUUGGAAAACAAUUCAGGAAAAGCUUUCCAAAGGAGUCGACCACAAGAGCCCAGAAGCCACUUGAGCUCAUUCACACCGAUGUGUGCGGUCCUAUAAAACCAAGCUCUUUGGGUAAAAAUAAUUAUUUCCUUCUCUUCAUUGAUGAUUUUUCAAGAAAAACCUGGGUUUAUUUCCUGAAGCAGAAAUCAGAAGUCUUUGGAGCAUUCAAGAAGUUCAAAGCCGUCGUAGAAAAAGAGAGUGGUUGCAAGAUCAAAGCCAUGAGAUCUGAUCGAGGAGGAGAAUUCACUUCAAAGGAAUUUCAAGAAUUUUGUGAAGCAAAUGGAAUUCGUCGACCUUUGACAGUUCCAAGAUCCCCUCAACAAAAUGGUGUGGCGGAAAGAAAAAAUCGAACUAUCCUCGACAUGGCUCGAAGUAUGCUCAAAAGCAAGAGAUUGCCUAAGGAGUUAUGGGCAGAAGUUGUAGCAUGUGCUGUCUACCUAUCCAUCGAUCUCCAACAAGAAGUGUGUGGGGAAAGACUCCGCAAGAAACAUGGAGUGGAAGAAAACCAGGUAUCUCUCAUCUAAGAGUUUUUGGAAGCAUAGCCCAUGUACAUGUACCAGACGAGAGGAGAGCCAAACUCGACGACAAAAGUGAGAAGUUCAUAUUCAUCGGCUAUGACUCAAAUUCAAAAGGCUACAAGUUGUAUAAUCCAAACAAUGGGAAGACGGUGAUCAGUCGAGACGUGACGUUCGACGAAGAAGAAGAAUGGGAUUUUGGCCCGCAUGCAGGAGAUCUUCAUUUCUUUCCUCAAUUUGAAGAAGAGAAUGAACAAGGGACGAUGGAGCAAGCAAGAGAGGUUCAACAAGAAUCCACUACUCCACCUGCUUCACCAAUAUCAACCAAUCAUGGCAAUUCACCAGCAUCAACAUCAUCAAGUGGGAGCCUAAAUGAAAGAGAAGUACCACGCACAAGAAGUAUACGAGAUCUCUAUGAGGUAGCUGAAAGACUUGAUAAUCCUACACUUUUCUGUCUCUUUGCUGAUUGUGAACCAGUCGACUUCCAAGAAGCAGUACAAGAUACUAAGUGGAGGAAAGCAAUGGAUGAAGAAAUCGAAGCAAUCGAGAAAAAUGAAACAUGGGAACUCACUGUUCUUCCAAAAGGACACAAAGCCAUCGGAGUCAAGUGGGUGUACAAGACAAAGAAAAAUGCCAACGGAGAGGUCGAAAGAUACAAGGCGAGACUAGUGGCGAAAGGCUAUAGUCAAAGAGCCGGAAUCGACUAUGAUGAGGUAUUUGCACCUGUUGCUCGUUUGGAAACGAUACGAUUGCUAAUUUCUUUGGCAGCUCAAAACAAAUGGAAGAUUCAACAAAUGGAUGUGAAGUCCGCCUUCCUAAAUGGAGUCCUUGAAGAAGAAGUCUACAUUCAACAACCAUCAGGCUAUGAAAUCAAAGGGCAUGAAGACAAGAUUCUGAAGCUGAAGAAAGCCCUCUAUGGGUUAAAACAAGCGCCAAGAGCAUGGAAUAGUCGCAUCGACAAGUACUUCCAAGAAAACAACUUCACCAAGUGCCCUCAUGAACAUGCUCUUUACGUCAAAGUCAAAGAUGAAGAUAUUUUGAUUCUGUGCUUAUAUGUGGAUGAUCUAAUCUUCACUGAGAGUAAUCCAAGCAUGUUUGAAGAGUUCAAGAAAGUGAUGACCAAAGAAUUUGAGAUGACGGACAUCGGCGUCACAAGCAAGAUUAAGGGGGGAUGUUGAAAGGUAAUCUUGCUUCUAGAAUGGUGGGUGCAUGCAUUGAAAAUGCUAGACAAUUCUAGCAUGAAUAUGGCAUGUGUUCAUUAUGUUCAUAAGCAAAGUCUAUGUUGGUGGGCUACUUUAAGAAAUCAAGAAUAAUGGCUAGGAUGAUUUCACACUUGGUAUUCACACUUGGUAUGGUUGGUUAUGCUUGCCUAUAAAUAUAGGUGAGUAUGUUGUAAUGUAAGAUAUAAGAAGAAGAAAAGAGAAGUGAGAAAGAAGAAGAAGAAGUAAGAGAGACAAGAAGGCUCUCUAAAGUGAGAAUAAGUAGAAGAAGUAUUCAUAGCUUCCAAGAGUGUUUGAGUGAUUUCUCUUGUAUUAGUUUGUGUGAGAAUAAGAAAAGUUUUGAGUGUUACCUUGAAUAUUCUUUUUCUCUUGCCUAUCAAUUUCCGCUGUGUUACAUUCUUAUUUGUGAGAUAGACAUCUCCAAAGU
rnacentral:lncRNA from 1 species